rnacentral:tRNA from 1 species
GGUCCGUUGGCCCAAUGGUAAGGCGUCUGACUACGAUUAUGCGAAGCGCAAUCAGGAGAUUCUGGGUUCGACCCCCAGGCGGACCU